rnacentral:lncRNA from 1 species
UAUUCGCAUCUUCUCUACCACAAGAUCCGUAACUCUUUAUUAACUCGCCAUCCUGAAAUAACAGAUGGUCACAAAUGAUCAACUUCGGCCCACUGAGUCCGCCUGGUUUACUUAUUUUGUUUAUUCUUUUUUUUUUUUCUUGGCAGGCCAUAGAGCUGAAUAUAUGACUACAAGGUAGGAAGAUGCUUUGUCAUCAUCUGUGGUCUGUUUCCCUCUCUUCUCUUUAACAAGAGCAGUUAACAACUGUAGCAGAUAGUCUGGGCACGAUGAAGCUCAACACCUUGAAAUGCUUGGGUCCUCAGACAAAUACUCUGACAUAACUAAGUUGUCUUCAGUGGGAUUGUAAAGUCCCUUGGUAAGCAGUUAUACCCGAGCUAGCAGGCUUAAAUUACCUAAUCCCUGAUACAUUAACUUUUUUUAAUAGAUUGAUGAUACUGUUGACAUGAUAAUUUAGUUAGCAAGCAAUAGGUGUGUGUACCAACUGCCUUAGUAAGUAGUAAGAAUUGCCUUCUUCCGCUUCCCGCUACACUUCAUGCUAUCUGAAAAUUACAGAUAUAUGGAAAUUUGGGGACUUUAGAUCUCAACCCACUUUAGCAUCUGAUUCUAACACAAGCCACCUAUGGCAGCUCCUCCUUCCCCUCACCUCGGCACCCAGGAAGGACUGUGAAGCUUUUUGUUUGCAAGCAAAUUCUGAGUUGAGUUGGAGAAGGUUCAUGACCACUUUUGUUUCUCGAUGGUAUCAUUUGCACACCAGCCGGACACCGUAGGAGUUGAUCUAGCAAGACUUCAAGCCUUUGAGGCUGUGUUCUGUUUGAGGCGAGAAGCAGGUGAAACUCUUUAACAGUGGGGCCCUCUGGAUUCUGUAUCUGAUGCCGUGAGGCCCUGGGCCUUUGUUCAUCCCAGAGGGACCCUCUAUGGCAGUUAGCCAGGAUGGCCUUUCAACAUGCAGAUUAGCUAAUCCGGAGCCUGCUCUGAUUGGCUCUUUCUCUCCGGGAUACAUGUCCACGUGCCUGGACACCCCACCGCCAGGUACCAGACAACCAGAACCUUCUCCUUGCUGCAGAAGCUACCCAGGUCAUCCAAACUAUACAAUUCAGUUGUUGCCUUCCACACUGUUCCCGUUCCUUCCCACGAAAGCCACAGUAAAGAGCACUUUUUUCACCUUCUCCUCCCUCCUUGCCUCCUGACCAGCCUUUGAGCUGCCCGCAGUUCCCACCCACCCCGUGGCGGAGUGCCAGAGCACCCCACACCCGUGCCUUUGAGUGCUAUAAACGAAGCUCUGUCUCUGCAUGGGCAGUCACCCCUUGUUACUAAAAUCUGUGUUAGAAAACAUUUAUUAGGGAACGAAAACCGUGGACGGUAUUAAGUAAUUCCGGGGAAACUUUCCGCAGCUCGUUGCCUGGGUCCUUCACACCUGCCGCAUCCCUCCCUUCGUGCGCUGCAUGGAAUUUAGCGUAUAAAAAUAGUUCAGAGACGUUAACUGGGGAAGGACAGGGCAUGCUGCCUGGCAGAGGUCUCCACACGUUUCUAUGUAUUUGUAAAGGCUCCUUUUAAGUCCCAGGCACCACAGGACUUCGGGUGCUGCUGGCUCUAUACCCCAUUAGUCACAGCCCUCCUGCUGGGAGAUUCUGAGAGGGUAGCCAUGAAAGGCUGUAUUCGAGGGUUUGUUCUCUCAUAUACAUGCUGAUUGCAGUGCUAAUAUCUAGUGAGCUCUUCAGGGUUUCACAUAGUUUCUUGGGAUUUUGCUUUUAAACUGGACUUUGUGAAUUUGAGCCAAUUGAACGUAAGAGGUCUUUGUCUAAAGAAUCCUGCUUCUCGAAGGGCUUACACAGUCUGUAGGCAUGGCAGUCCUUCUCCUGUCUGUUUUGCAGAGGUUAACCAGCAGAGAUACAGAAUCUUGAGUCUGGUCAUCUAGUUCCUUCCUCUUCUCCUCUAAGGGAAAAGAGCAGAAGAGGCUGCCUGUUUCUGAUAAUGCUGCAAGUUGAUUGGUGCAGGGUUCUCCAGUAACGCGUGUGGCAGGCACACUGGAUGUGUGUAUGCCUGAAAGACCAGAUUAUCCACCAAAGCCAACAAGCAGGAGAGUCCAGAACAACACAGUGGGUGACCUACUGUUCCACAGAUAUGUGGGCAAGGGCACCGUGCAUUCAACAGAAAGAGUAACUCAUGCUUGUCUUGGGCCCCACAGCCAGAAACUAUCUUGACACCAAACUCUAAAUUUCCCAAGGGUGAUCUGUUAAUAAGAAUAUGCACACAGAAUAAAAACUCGUGAAUACCUAGGGAAUAUGAGCAGGUGCGCUGCUACCUGCACUGAAGAGUUAUGACCGAACGAAAAAUAUUUUUAAUUUCUCAUCUGGAAAUCUCUCGAUGCCCUUUUACAUUUGUGGCUUGGCAUGUGGCUGGUAAACCAAACAGAGACCUGGCUUUACCACAUUUGGCUAGAUAGCUCAGAAUAGCCAUUCAUAAUGCUUACCUUUUUGUUUUGUUUUUUAAGGUAUAAAAAUAAAAAUGGCAGUUCUAGCACAUAGAAACACCACGGUCUAAAUGAACAACUCCUAUGCUCUUGAUGUACAAAUAAAAGAGGAUUGAAGGAGGGUGGGAGUGUUUGCUCCUGGGCUGGGGUGGGGAAAAAACCCAGGGUCCUCUGGCUUAGUUAUUUUGAUAUGACCUAAGGGUAUUUCAUCAACUGUCUGAUUUCUGCCAUGCUCAGUAAUUAUGUUCCCUUCCCUUAGGCCUCCAAACGUCCCCCCUAAGCCCCAGAAACACAGGAAGUCCAGGCCCCGCUCCCAGUAUAAUGCUAAGUUGUUUAAUGGGGAUUUGGAGACAUUCGUCAAGGUACAGCACCUGCCACCAGCCGGUGGCUGACCUCCAUGCUUCUCAUUAUAAUGGCCUCAGCCUCCCGUGAAGGAGGCCGGUCAUUAUGUCCUGGGGCUCUUCAAUUCCCCAGAAAAAUCAAUAUAAUAUUUCCUGAAGUCAGAGGGAGAGAAGAUUGGGAGUGAGAGCCUUCUGAAGAAAAUUAAUGAAUGUGGAUGUUAUCAUGUGGC